rnacentral:rRNA from 1 species
CUGGCUCAGAACGAACGCUGGCGGCGCGUUUAAGCAUGCAAGUCGAGCGGCAAGGGCCUUCGGGCCCCUAGAGCGGCGGACGGGUGAGUAACACGUGGACAAUCUGCCCCCCGGCCCGGGAUAGCCCAGGGAAACCUGGAUUAAUACCGGAUGAGACGGGACCCGCGAUGGCGGGACCCGGGAAGGCGCUGCGGCGCCGCCGGGGGAUGAGUCUGCGUCCCAUUAGCUAGACGGCGGGGUAACGGCCCACCGUGGCGACGAUGGGUAGCCGGCCUGAGAGGGUGGACGGCCACAUUGGAACUGAGACACGGUCCAGACUCCUACGGGAGGCAGCAGCUAAGAAUCUUCCGCAAUGGGCGAAAGCCUGACGGAGCGACGCCCGCGUGAACGAAGAAGGCCGUGAGGUUGUAAAGUUCUUUUCGGGAGGGGGAACAACCGUGGCAGGGAAUGGCCGCGGGAUGACGUGAAUCCCGGAAUAAGCCCCGGCUAACUACGUGCCAGCCGCAGC